GAUGAACGCUAGCGGCAGGCCUAAUACAUGCAAGUCGAGGGGCAGCGGGUGUAGCAAUACAUGCCGGCGACCGGCGCACGGGUGCGUAACGCGUAUGCAACUUACCUCUAACAGGGGAAUAGCCCCGAGAAAUCGGGAUUAAUACCUCAUAACAUUUAUCAUUCGCAUGUUUGAUAAAUUAAAGCUCCGGCGGUUAGAGAUGGGCAUGCGUGACAUUAGCUAGUUGGUGAGGUAACGGCUCACCAAGGCUGCGAUGUCUAGGGGUUCUGAGAGGACAUUCCCCCGACACUGGUACUGAGACACGGACCAGACUCCUACGGGAGCAGCAGUAAGGAAUAUUGGGCAAUGGACGCAAGUCUGACCCAGCCAUGCCGCGUGCAGGAUGAAGGCCCUAUCGGGUUGUAAACUGCUUUUGUACGGG
rnacentral:rRNA from 1 species